rnacentral:rRNA from 1 species
UACGGAGGGGGCUAGCGUUGUUCGGAAUUACUGGGCGUAAAGCGCGCGUAGGCGGCUUUGUAAGUUAGAGGUGAAAGCCCGGGGCUCAACCCCGGAAUUGCCUUUAAGACUGCAUCGCUUGAAUCCGGGAGAGGUGAGUGGAAUUCCGAGUGUAGAGGUGAAAUUCGUAGAUAUUCGGAAGAACACCAGUGGCGAAGGCGGCUCACUGGACCGGUAUUGACGCUGAGGUGCGAAAGCGUGGGGAGCAAACAGG